UAGUGGCGAACGGCUGAGUAACGCGUAGGUGACCUACCCCGUAGUGUGGAAUAACUGCCCGAAAGGGUAGCUAAUACCGCAUGUUGAGCCGACAUCAAUGUCGUCUCCAAAGCAGAAAUGCGCUAUGGGCGGGGCCUGCGUUCGAUUAGCUAGUUGGUGGGGUAAUGGCUCACCAAGGCGACGAUCGAUAGGUGGUCUGAGAGGACGAUCACCCAGACUGGGACUGAGACACGGCCCAGACUCCUACGGGAGGCAGCAGUCGGGAAUUUUGCGCAAUGGGGGAAACCCUGACGCAGCAAUACCGCGUGUGGGAUGAAGGCCUUCGGGUCGUAAACCACUUUUUUCGGGGACGAUAAUGACGGUACCCGAAGAAUAAGCCACGGCUAACUACGUGCCAGCAGCCGCGGUAAUACGUAGGUGGCAAGCGUUGUCCGGAUUUACUGGGCGUAAAGCGCGCGCAGGCGGUGAAUGAAGUCGAAAGUGAAAGCCCCGGGCUCAACUCGGGAACUGCUUUCGAAACCAGUUCACUUGAAGGCGGAAGAGGGAAGUGGAAUUCCGAGUGUAGUGGUGGAAUGCGUAGAUAUUCGGAAGAACACCAGAGGCGAAGGCGACUUCCUGGUCCGAUCUUGACGCUGAGGCGCGAAAGCUAGGGGAGCAAACGGGAUUAGAUACCCCGGUAGUCCUAGCUGUAAACGAUGGAUACUAGGUGUUGGAGGUU
rnacentral:rRNA from 1 species